rnacentral:rRNA from 1 species
GACGUAGGAGGCGAGCGUUAUCCGGAUUCACUGGGCGUAAAGCGCACGUAGGCGGCUUUGUAAGUUAGAGGUGAAAGCCCGGGGCUCAACUCCGGAACUGCCUUUAAGACUGCAUCGCUUGAAUCCGGGAGAGGUGAGUGGAAUUCCGAGUGUAGAGGUGAAAUUCGUAGAUAUUCGGAAGAACACCAGUGGCGAAGGCGGCUCACUGGACCGGUAUUGACGCUGAGGUGCGAAAGCGUGGGGAGCAAACAGG